AAGACUAUAGACCUGCGGAGUACCUGCGGAAGGAUCAUUAAAGAGUUUAACUACUCAAACCAUUGUGAACCUUACCUCAACCGUUGCUUCGGCGGGCGGGCCCGGGCCAAGCCCGGCGCCCCCCCGGCCCCUCGCGGGCGCCCGCCGGAGGUUAACCGAACCCUUGAACUGUAUGGCCUCUCUGAGUCUUCUGUACUGAAUAAGUCAAAACUUUCAACAAUGGAUCUCUAGAUCGGAAGA
rnacentral:misc_RNA from 1 species